UGGGGAAUAUUGGACAAUGGGCGAAAGCCUGAUCCAGCAAUACCGCGUGUGUGAAGAAGGCCCUAGGGUUGUAAAGCACUUUCAAUUGGGAGGAAAACCUACCGGUCAAUACCCGGUAGCUUGACAUUACCUUUAGAAGAAGCACCGGCAAACUUCGUGCCAGCAGCCGCGGUAAUACGAAGGGUGCGAGCGUUGUUCGGAAUUAUUGGGCGUAAAGGGUUCGUAGGCGGGAUUGUAAGUCGAGUGUGAAAUCCCCGAGCUUAACUCGGGACGUGCAUUUGAAACUGUGAUUCUUGAGUCAUUGAGAGGGUGGUGGAAUUGUUGGUGUAGGAGUGACAUCCGUAGAGAUCAACAGGAACAUCAGAGGCGUAAGCGGCCACCUGGCAAUGUACUGACGCUGAGGAACGAAAGCGUGGGGAGCAAACAGG
rnacentral:rRNA from 1 species